GCUCCAUAAUAUACGGUAGUUUCUCAACUCCCUUUUCUAGUAGUAACUGAAGCCUUUAUGCUGUAUGUCUCCCAUAGCUCUUUUUUUUCUGGGGACACCUGGGAGGACUGUCACUGGGGACCUGUGAGUUUCCCAGGGUCAGAGGUGCCAACUUCACAGACACAGCUUCAGAAAAGCACCCACGUGACUGACUGUCUGCAGUGGCAGCUGGACCAGCAUUUCGACUGUGGUGACAGCAAAGCCAUGCUUGGUCUUUCUUUCACCAACGGGGGCUUUACCUCCAACCCUGAUUCUGGAAACCAAGGACCACUCUUUCUAGAUACCAGUUACUUAAGAACUAAGAAAAGAUAUUGCCAAUUUCUAAGAAACCACACCAUAAAAUUUACCUUUUCCAUUUGAUGAAAAAGACCUACACAGCAAGUCAAAUUAAAGCCCAAACAGCACACUGGAGGGAUCCUUACCUGAAAAUCAGCAUCCCAAUCAACAACCACUCUCCGUGAGACAGAACUGAUGGGAGAAAUCUCACUCAUCAGCCUCCAAGUGUCAUGCAUCGAGAAGGAGACCAGUGCUUUGAUGGACACACAGUUUAGAGAGACCUUAACUCUUGUUCCCCUCAAUAUUCAUCCUCCAGACACCAGCAUGGGAGCAAUUGGAAGAAUGCACCAUAUCACCUUGUCAUUCUUUGCCACUAGACGGACUGUGCUAGGAGCAGACAGCAUUUACUGUACAGUGUUCUUGCUGAAAGUGUCUAUCCUGAAUUUAAUCAUGAGGUAGUUAUCAGAUAACUGCAGAAUUUAGAUCAUUGAACAAGACAACUGGCCUGUCUUUCUUCAAACAGUUAAUUAAAAAAAAUUAAAACAAAAAAGUCAAUAUCUCCCCAAGUAAGACAAAAAGAAAAGGAGAAGAGAUGUCUCAGUUUCCAAAGGACUAAAGAAGUACAUGUUACUAUAGUGUGUUACUACCAUAUUUCUUUAGUCCUUUGGAACAACAAACAUCUCCUCUCCUUUUCAUAGAUGUCUUUGAUGGCAGACGUUGACCUGUUUGCAGAGGACAGGCCAGUUGUCUGCUCAGUGGUCUACAUUUUGCAGUUGUCUGAUUAUUUCCUCACAAUUAAAUUCAGGUGAACCCUUUUUGCCAAGAACACCAGCUAGUGUACACUCUGUGCUUCCCAGUGCAGCCCCUUGGAGUCUGAGGGCAUCCACUUUUCCUGUCACCACUGUUGUCAUCUUAGCAUCGGACACUUUGUUAUGCAGGGGCUCAUAAGGUCCAUUCAUCGGAAUGACAUAUUUUUCUAUCUAUAAUCAAUAAUUUGAUUAGUGGUAAUUUGAGAGUGUAUGAACUUCAUAUUGUAUGAUGCUCUUUCUCUGAAAAUUUUACCAUCCCUGAUAUGUGUCAAUUA
rnacentral:lncRNA from 1 species